CGUCUUCUUUUCCUCUUUUGUCCUAUUGUUAUUUUCUCUUCCUUUUUAAUUUUUCAAUUGGUGAUGAUAUUGUGUA
rnacentral:ribozyme from 1 species